rnacentral:misc_RNA from 1 species
AGGUCUUCUCCUCGCUCUAAGAGAUUAUAAAUCCAUUCUGGAAAAUAGAUCUGGCAAGCAUUCUCUGCUGCAACUUCAACGUUCUUCCUCCCUCCAACCAUUUCAAGCACUAAUACUCCAAAGCUGUAAACGUCCGACUUAUGGGACACAUUCCCAAAGUUCCUGGAGUACACUUCAGGUGCUAUAUAUCCCAUGGUGCCCCUAGCUGCUGUCAUGGAAACUGCACUUUGAUCCUUGGAACACAA